UUCCGGUUGAUCCCGCCGGACCCGACUGCUAUUUGGGUGAGAAUAAGCCAUGCGAGUUGAAUGGGAUACCUAAAUUUCCCAUAGCAAACUGCUCAGUAACACAUGAUCAACUUACCCUAUAGAGAAAAAUAACCUCGGGAAACUGAGGAUAAUGUUUCAUAAUUGAAUUGGCUUGGAAAAGUUUUUCAAUGAAAAGGAUAAAAAAAAUGGUUUUUAUCUGCUAUAGGAUAGGAUCGUGUUCGAUUAUGGUUGUUGGUGAGAUAAUGGCUCACCAAGCCGAUAAUCGAUAGGGGCCGUGAGAGCGGGAGCCCCGAGAUGGGUACUGAGACAACGACCCAGGCCUUACGAGGCGCAGCAGGCGCGGAACCUCCGCAAUACACGAAAGUGUGACGGGGUUACCCAAAGUGUUCAAUAGAACUGUGGUAGGUGAGUAAUGUCCCCUACUAGAAAGGAGAGGGCAAGGCUGGUGCCAGCCGCCGCGGUAAAACCAGCUCUUCAAGUGGUCGGGAUAAUUAUUGGGCUUAAAGUGUCCGUAGCCGGUUUAGUAAGUUCCUGGUAAAAUCGGGUAGCUUAACUAUCUGCAUGCUAGGAAUACUGCUAUACUAGAGGGCGGGAGAGGUCUGAGGUACUACAGGGGUAGGGGUGAAAUCUUAUAAUCCUUGUAGGACCACCAGUGGCGAAGGCGUCAGACUGGAACGCGCCUGACGGUGAGGGACGAAAGCCAGGGGAGCGAACCGGAUUAGAUACCCGGGUAGUCCUGGCCGUAAACGAUGCAUACUAGGUGAUGGUACGGCCAUGAGCCGUAUCAGUGCCGUAGGGAAACCGUUAAGUGUGCCGCCUGGGAAGUACGGUCGCAAGGCUAAAACUUAAAGGAAUUGGCGGGGGAGCACCACAAGGGGUGAAGCCUGCGGUUCAAUUGGAUUCAACGCCGGGAAUCACUAGUGCGGCCG
rnacentral:rRNA from 1 species